rnacentral:rRNA from 1 species
CGUAACACGUGAGCAACCUUCCGAAAUAUGGGGGAUAGCCGGCCUAACGGCCGAGUAAUACCGCAUACGCUCUCGAUGGGGCAUUUCAUUGAGAGGAAACCUCCGGGGUAUUUCGAGGGGCUCGCGGCCUAUCAGCUAGUUGGCGAGGUAACGGCUCACCAAGGCAACGACGGGUAGCUGGUCUGAGAGGAUGGCCAGCCACAUUGGGACUGAGAUACGGCCCAG